GAGUUGCCCUCUCUCUUCAGAAAAUGGCUUUACCCAUCUCUGAGUUGGAAGGUGAUGGCAUUCUCCUCAAUCAAGCGGUUCUCCAAGGCGGAAGGAGCAAGCAAGGGUGAAGUUAAAGGGCUUUAUAUGGUAUAGGGUUCUAUUCCAAGCGAGAUCACAAAAGAAUCACUUUCGGUCAUGUGCAUAACCUGGGCCAAGACAAGAAUGUCUAUUCGUUCUUACCUUACGAAGGAAGGCGACCAAUGUCAAACUCAAGCCUUGCCAGCAGAAUAUGGAGCUUCCUUAGUUAGGAGGCUACCGACCUCUAUGUGGUGGACGGUUUAUGCCUUGUCGAUCUUGCUCCUUGAAUGAAGCCUUCCUCACCUUAUCAAUAAAUAGGUAUGUUUGGAGCGGGGAAAGUGAACUACUCCUUACCGUAUUAUCACCUUGCUUCUUAUUCCCUGUCCUCCACAAUGAGAAAGAUAAUUGCGUGGAACGUAAGGGGGCCGCUAGGCCCAAUAAAAGAAGCUGGGCUCGUUGUGCCAGUUUCUUUCUUAUCUGUCAGAUGGGAAGAACUAGUUUGGGUUCAGAAUGGGCCUAACAAAAAAAGACAAAGAGGCGUAUAUACUAAGAGUAGCUUUCCCAUGAGCACAUGAAAUAUAUUAUAUGAGUAAGGUUCUUCCCGGAAGAACGGAAAGAGAAGCGAAGGGGCGAAGAGUUGAGCCGAAGGGGCGAAGAGCUGAACGUAAGGGAAGGGGCCUGGAAAGUUUUUCUAAAUCUGCUGAGAGGGGCUAGCUAUCAGCUAUAAGAACAGCUGAAGAUCGGCUUCAUAAGGGAAUCCCUACCAUCUCUUAUUUACAGAACUGUGCCAACGUGUGCCUACAUUCUGAGUAUAUUUGAUUUAGGGAAGAGAGAUUUAUUGAAUAGAAAGAAUGAAACCAGUACCAGCAACUCGCCAACCGUGCUUCCUACCAACUCCGCCCCCCCUAGUAAGGAGAACUCUGGUUGCGCGGCUUUUUCUUAUGGGGGUCUCUUUUCUCUGACUUCACUCAGCUUUACCUACUUGACUCAGCGGUUAGAGUCUCGCUUUCAUACGGCGAGAGUCAUUGGUUCAAAUCCAAUAGUAGGUCAAACCGGCCAAAAGCCCUGCUUUUUCCAGCAUGACAGCAAGCAAGCAAUAAAAGUCAGAGGAAAAGAUCCAAGCUAGCUCAAGCCCCGAAAGAAAUCUAUCUCUUUUGACCCCAUUGAGAAAAAGCGAUCUCGAUACGAUCUGUCUAAACCAAUCUAUCACUGGCACUGGAAUGAACCAUUCGUUACUAGUAUACUGGGCAGCGUGAUCAAGUCAAGUCCUUCUCUUACCAGAUUGAAAUUCGAUUAAUGUGAGCUCGUAUGGGAGUAGAAGGCACUACUUUCCCCUUCCCCCGAUCUUUAUAAUCAAAGGUGUGUGCUCCAUACUUGUCAAAAGUUAUUGCUCAUAUACUGGAGAAAGCAGACGAACUCUUCUUUGCUCAAGCUUAUGCUCGUACCUUGUCCUGGCAGCUCUUUCAACGUCUGAUAGUUCAAAGACGGAGAAGGGAUGAUUUUCUUGACUUUCAUUUAAAGCAGGCGCCUUUGGCUUGAAGAAGCAUAUCCUUGGCCCGAAGAAAGGGAGGCGUGGAAGCCUUUGUCAUGGAACUGCUGAAGAAAGUUGGUGCAGAGGCUCUCAUCGCGUAACUGCCGAAGAAGCGGAGCGGAUUCGGAUGAGGCUGCUUAUGCGCGUGCGGAUUUUCCUCGUGUAACUGCCUAGUUCUAGCCCCCCUUGGCGGGAGGGGUUUAGGUA